rnacentral:rRNA from 1 species
GCACAACGCGAAGAACCUUACCCACCUUUGACAUGGCAGGAACUUACCAGAGAUGGUUUGGUGCUCGAAAGAGAACCUGCACACAGGUGCUGCAUGGCUGUCGUCAGCUCGUGUCGUGAGAUGUUGGGUUAAGUCCCGCAACGAGCGCAACCCUUGCCAUUAGUUGCUACAUUCAGUUGAGCACUCUAAUGGGACUGCCGGUGACAAACCGGAGGAAGGUGGGAUGGACGUCAAGUCCUCAUGGCCCUUAUAGGUUGGGGCUACACACGUCAUACAAUGGCUGGUACAAAGGGUUNCCGAACCCGCGAGGGGGAGCGUAAUCCCAUAAAGCCAGUCGUAGUCCGGAUCGCAGUCUGCAACUCGACUGCGUGAAGUCGGAAUCGCUAGUAAUCGUGGAUCAGAAUGUCACGGUGAAUACGUUCCCGGGUCUUGUACACACCG